AAGGUACUCUCUGAAGCUCCCCGUGUCCUCGAGGGGGGUUAAUUCCGUAGACAGCACGGGGAG
rnacentral:ncRNA from 1 species